ACACCCUCAAGCUCUGCUUGGUGUUGGGCGUCUGUCCCGCCUCUGCGCGCGGACUCGCCCCAAAGGCAUUGGCAGCGGUCCACGGCCCCUCUCGCGCAGCACAUUGCGCUUCUCGAGGCGGCCCGGCCCGCGUCCACGAAGCCCACAUUACCGUCU
rnacentral:misc_RNA from 1 species